CUCCCGGGCUGUGUCUUACCGCUCAACCACACGGGAAGCUUUUGGUGACUGGGAAGGAAGGUGCCCACCGCCUCCCUGGGCUUUGGCCAGGUGAGCUGCUGUCCCACUUGGAACAAAGCCUUGCCGUUCCCCAGAAGCUCUUGGCUUUGAUCUUUCCCACCCGAGCAAGCUUCUGCACUCAUUUCCCUGUCAUAGAAGUGAGAGAAGAGCGGAACCUUCUGCCUUUGGGAAGCCGCUGAGCCGUGUGUCCUGCAGUCAUGAGGAACUGUCGUGCAGGUCCCCGCACAUGAGGGACUUUCUGUGCUGCUGGCACCGCUGAAAGAAGCGCUUGAGCCUCCUGCUCUUCCUUUGAAGGGCACCGGAAGGAAGGAUUUGCUUCAUUACCGGGUGUGUUUGCUCCACUAGAAACACCCAACAAGAAGCUGCCCACCAAGAUGCCCCCCAAUCCUUUCUCCACACAAGGUUUGGGAGAGAUGUUAUCUCUAAGCCAUUCAUUUGUGGUUUCGGGGGGUGGACCCAACUGUAUGAACUAUAUCCCAACUGCUCCUUCCUCAAUUUGAGAAGCAAGCUCAAUAAACCCUCUCUCCUUUCAAAAUCUC